UACGGGGGGGGCAAGCGUUGUUCGGAAUUACUGGGCGUAAAGGGCGCGUAGGCGGCCUUCUAAGUCGAACGUGAAAUCCCUGGGCUCAACCCAGGAACUGCGUCCGAUACUGGAAGGCUUGAAUCCGGGAGAGGGAUGCGGAAUUCCAGGUGUAGCGGUGAAAUGCGUAGAUAUCUGGAGGAACACCGGGUGGCGAAGGCGGCAUCCUGGACCGGUAUUGACGCUGAGGCGCGAAAGCCAGGGGGAGCAAACGGGAUUAAGAAA
rnacentral:rRNA from 1 species